CAGCUCCUCACGACCACAUACGAAGCUCUUCUUCCCUAUUUUUGGAAAACACAUGAACAGAGCUUUAUUAUCGGGGUUCUUCAAGCGCACAACUCCCAUCUUCAAAUCCAUCAAAAUCCUUCACCAAAUGAGUUGGGCAUGGACUGAGUAGGAGGUAAAAUGGACUAUCAUCAUCACAAAAGAUUUCGAAUCGUGUAUCGUGUAAUCAACUCCUCCAUUGUUCUAAAGUUGAAAUCAUGGCUGGGUAUCUCCUAAUUUGAGCAAAUCCCAUUCUAUCAGGGCUAUAUAGUGACUGGGUAAUCUUGAAUUGCAGGAUUUGAAGGCCCAAGCAAUGGCUUCGAAAGGGACCGAAGAAGACAAUUAUGAAGGCAAACAAAAAAGUAUCACCAAACGCUCAUUUGCAUUUGCGGAAGCACUAAGUCAAGCCACUGAAAACAAUGUCUCGGCCUUCAUGAAUAGAAUAACACAACGAGUCCCGAAUGAAGGUGGGGUACGUCAACUUGGCCCAAGUUUCCAUAGUGAUAUACCGACUCGUUCUACCCACGGAAUCUAGUUGGCCGUUUCACCAGGCCAUUUUCCUGGUUUUGUUCCCCAUGCUCCCCAUGCUUUUCCUUCACUGAACUAGCUAGAUCAUCUACUUCAUGCUAAUGUUUGUACCCACAUUUGCAUGACCACUCGGACGUAGCUAAUGUGCAUAGUUAUUGAAUGAUUUCUAGUUACAGUUUGCCACUCAACAAGUAAUUGGGCCGAUUGCCAGAAAUGUUGGCCGAUGAAUGAGUGGACACGUCAGUUGGUCCAAGAUGAGUCAGAUGAAGCUAGGCCUUUGGUUAUCGGCCGGCCCGUAGUCAUUGGUUUAUUGUCUAAAAGCCCAUUGGCCAAUACUCUAAUUGGUUUCCAACCCGAACUCAACUUAGAAAGAUAAUGGCCGAUUGUCAGAGAGGCUGAUAAGCGAUAAAGAUGAAAUUUGAUCAAGUAGUAUUUCAGUCGACUUGAAGUUCAUGUCAGCCGAUAAGGAGAGUUCAAUCUAAGAUAGCCUACUUCAAGAUUAAUUACAGCGGUUGAUGACGACCAUCAGAGCCAAUCCAGAUAGAGUCCAGCGUCAAGUUAGCCGACGAUAAGUAUUGAAGCCGAAUCAAGAUAGAGUCACUGAGCCAAGAGGAAGCUGAAUUCCACUCAACUUCAAAGAGUCAAGAGAUCAGUUCAAGUCACAAAGCAGCCGAUAUAAAUAGAAGCAUCGACAGAAGACAACACACACACAACUCCAGAAACU